rnacentral:rRNA from 1 species
GACGAACGCUGGCGGCGUGCUUAACACAUGCAAGUCGAACGGUGAAGCGCCUUCCUUUUUGGUGGGUGUGGAUGAGUGGCGAACGGGUGAGUAACACGUGAGUAACCUGCCCCCUUCUUCUGGAUAACCGCAUGAAAGUGUGGCUAAUACGGGAUAUUCUGGGUCUGUCGCAUGAUGGGUCUGGGAAAGAUUUUGUUUCGGUGGGGGAUGGGCUCGCGGCCUAUCAGCUUGUUGGUGGGGUGAUGGCCUACCAAGGCGGUGACGGGUAGCCGGCCUGAGAGGGUGGACGGUCAUACUGGUAAUGAGACACGGACCAGACUCCUACGGGAGGCAGCAGUGGGGAAUAUUGCACAAUGGGAGCAAGGCUGAUGCAGCGACGCCGCGGGAGGGAUGGAGGCCUUCGGGUUGUGAACCUCUUUCGCCAGUGAAGCAGGCCUGCCUCGUUUGUGGGUGGGUUGACGGUAGCUGGAUAAGAAGCGCCGGCUAACUACGUG